AUUGAACGCUGGCGGCAGGCCUAACACAUGCAAGUCGAACGAGUGGCGGACGGGUGAGUAAUGUCUGGGAAACUGCCUGAUGGAGGGGGAUAACUACUGGAAACGGUAGCUAAUACCGCAUACCAUCGGAUGUGCCCAGAUGGGCUUAGCUAGUAGGUGGGGUAACGGCUCACCUAGGCGACGAUCCCUAGCUGGUCUGAGAGGAUGGCCAUCCAAACGGGAGCGGAGACACGGUCCAGACUCCUACGGGAGGCAGCAGUGGGGAAUAUGGCACAAUGGGGGGAAGCCUGAUGCAGCCAGGCCGCGUGUAUGAAGAAGGCCUUCGGGUUGUAAAGUACUUUCAGCGGGGAGGCGUUACCCGCAGAAGAAGCACCGGCUAACUCCGUGCCAGCAGCCGCGGUAAUUC
rnacentral:rRNA from 1 species